rnacentral:rRNA from 1 species
GACGAACGCUGGCGGCGUGCCUAAUACAUGCAAGUUGAGCGAUGAAGAUUGGUGCUUGCACCAAUUUGAGAGGAGCGAACGGGGUAAUUACGCGGGGGGAAUCUGCCUUUUAGCGGGGGACAACCUUUGGAAACGAAUGCUUAUACCGCAUAACAACUUUAAACAUUAGUUUUAAGGUUUAAAGGUGCAAUUUCAUCACUCAAAGAUGAUCCCGCGUUGUAUUAGCUAGUUGGUGAGGUAAAGGCUCACCAAGGCGAUGAUACAUAGCCGACCUGAGAGGGUGAUCGGCCACAUUGGGACUGAGACACGGCCCAAACUCCUACGGGAGGCAGCAGUAGGGAAUCUUCGGCAAUGGACGAAAGUCUGACCGAGCAACGCCGCGUGAGUGAAGAAGGUUUUCGGAUCGUAAAACUCUGUUGGUAGAGAAGAACGUUGGUGAGAGUGGAAAGCUCAUCAAGUGACGGUAACUACCCAGAAAGGGACGGCUAACUACGUG